UAAAGAUUCAUCGCUGAUAGAUAGGCAUGCGUUCCAUUAGGCAGUUGGCGGGGUAACGGCCCACCAAACCGACGAUGGAUAGGGGUUCUGAGAGGAAGGUCCCCCACAUUGGUACUGAGACACGGACCAAACUCCUACGGGAGGCAGCAGUGAGGAAUAUUGGUCAAUGGGCGUAAGCCUGAACCAGCCAAGUCGCGUGAGGGAUGAAGGUUCUAUGGAUCGUAAACCUCUUUUAUAAGGGAAUAAAGUGUGGGACGUGUCCUAUUUUGUAUGUACCCUAUGAAUAAGGAUCGGCUAACUCCGUGCCAGCAGCCGCGGUAAUACGGAGGAUCCGAGCGUUAUCCGGAUUUAUUGGGUUUAAAGGGUGCGUAGGCGGCCUUUUAAGUCAGCGGUGAAAGUCUGUGGCUCAACCAUAGAAUUGCCGUUGAAACUGGGGGGCUUGAGUAUGUUUGAGGCAGGCGGAAUGCGUGGUGUAGCGGUGAAAUGCUUAGAUAUCACGCAGAACCCCGAUUGCGAAGGCAGCCUGCCAAGCCAUGACUGACGCUGAUGCACGAAAGCGUGGGGAUCAAACAGGAUUAGAUACCCUGGUAGUCCACGCAGUAAACGAUGAUCACUAGCUGUUUGCGAUACAGUGUAA
rnacentral:rRNA from 1 species